GUGCUCACUUCGGCAGCACGUGUACUAAAAUUGGAACUAUACAGAGAAGAUUAGCACGGCCCCUGUGCAAGGAUGACAUGCAAAUUCGUGAAGCGUUCCAUACUUUU
rnacentral:snRNA from 1 species